UGAUUUGGGAGGACGCCGUGGAAGAUGGACGGAUGCAGGAUUACUUGGAGGAGGCGGUCACGGCUUGGAUCCGGGCGCUGGGACGUUGGCAUGGAUGCGGUGGAGACGCGGUGAAGACGCGGUGCGGGAUCGCCGGAGAUUGGAUUCAGACGCUGGGAUUCCGGGCGUUGCUGGCACGGUGGGUGGCACGAGAGUUGGAUGCAUUCGAACGGGCGCUUGGGAUCGAUGUGGCGGAUGCAUGGGAUCAUUCCCUCUCCCCUGUUUUCGCACGGAUGAAGCUGCUUUGAUGCGGGUGAGAGGAUCUCCCUUCAUUGAAUAUGGGUCAUGUACCAGUUUCUGCAAUGGAAUUGGAUUUUGGAAGAAGGUCUGGGACUUUCUUUGCCCUCCUGAGAUGGGAGCUGGGAGAUACCAAGUUCCGUCCAAUUAGUCAUAGAGAUAAAAAAAUAGUGUGAUAUGAAAUUUGGCUCACGAGUCAUCUGUUCUGA
rnacentral:lncRNA from 1 species